UGUGAAGCAAAACCAAUAUAUGGUGCCAACAAUAGCUUCAUCAAUGGAGGGCAACCACAAUUCUCAAAAGCUUCACACUCUUGAUCAAGACAGUGUGAAGCAAAACCAAUUUAGGGUACCAACAAGAGCUUCAUCAAUGGAAGGUAACCAUAAUUCUCAAAAGCUUCACACAUUCUUGAUCAAGACAGUGUGAAGCAAAACCAAUUUAUGUUGCCAACAAGAGCUUCAUCAAAGAUGUUCAACCACAAUUCUCAAAAACUUCACACACUCUUGAUCAAGACAGUGUGAAGCAAAACCAAUUUAUGGUACCAAAAAGAGCUUCAUCAAAGGAGUUCAACCACAAUUCUCAAAAGCUUCACACACUCUUGACCAAGACAGUGUGAAGCAAAACCAAUUUAUGGUGCCAACAAAAGCUUCAUCAAUGAAGGGCAACUACAACUCGUAGAAAGCUUCACACACUCUUGAUCAAGACUGUUCGAAGCAAAUUCAAUUUAUAUGGUUCAUCCAAACCUUUGACUACUACAAGGUGUAGCUUGUAUCACAAUCUCUUACUCAACAGUGUGGAAGCAAAAUUUGUAUAUGUUGUCUCUCCCACAUUUUCAAAUUUCUAGUUUCCCAAAAAAAAAAUGGAAAUUGGGAAAUUCAACAAAUUUCUAGUUUUCCAAAAAAAAAAAAGGAAAUUCAACAAAGCUUCAUCAAUGGAGAACAACUACAAAUUCUCAAAAGCUUCACACUAUCUUGAUCAAGAUAGUGUGAAGCAAAAUCAAUUCAUGGUACCCAACAAAGCUUCACCACAAAAGCUUCCCCAACAAAAGCUUCAUCAAUGGAGGACAACUACAAAUUCUCAAAAGCUUCACACUAUCUUGAUCAAGAUAGUGUGAGGCAAAAUCAAUUCAUGGUACCCAACAAAAGCUUCAACUCCAAAGCUUCACCUAUAAAGCUUCAACUCCAAAGCUUCAUCUACAAAAGCUUCAACACAAAAGUUUCACCUACAAAGCUUCAACUCCAAAGCUUCACCUGCAAAGCUUCAACACAAAAGC
rnacentral:lncRNA from 1 species